GUUUUUGAGAACUUAGAAUGAUGCUAAGAAACAUUAGACCAUAGAUUUUAGUGAAAUUCUAAACAUAGACUCAGUUGACAUGGCAAUGAAUUCAGGAGUAAAGGUGAGUCUCAAUGUCUACCUUGGUUAACACUAUGCUGCAAUACUUCUCUACCUGGCUUAACCAGAAUCUGUCUGUAAGAAUCCUUCAGACAGACAGGCUCUUUCCUCCCCUAUUCCUUAUCACUUUUAUAUAUAGGGUAAAUGUAAUAGUUUUGUAAAAAUCAAGCCUAAUAUUAGUAAUAUUAUUUGAAAACAUCUAAAUGAAUAUUCUCAAUUUGCAGUUAAGAAAAUUGAGAUUUACAGAGAUAAAGAAACUAGACCACAAGAAAAUACAGAGAAAUUACUUAGAAACAGCAAUUAUAAAUUAUCCAGAAACAACUAUUGUAAUUAAUUUAAUGUUGUUGCUGCCACUGGUGCUCUUUCCCAUUCCUUGGAUACGUAGGGGAAUGGGCUUACUGGACUUUCGAUCCCCCCAGUACAUAGUUGUAUAUUCUUCGUUGUGGGUCCUUCUAGUUGUGGCGUGUGGGACGCUGCCUCAGCAUGGCCUGAUGAGCAGUGCCAUGUCCGCGCCCAGGAUUCGAACCAACGAAACACUGGGCCGCCUGCAGUGGAGCGCGCGAACUUAACACCUCCACCACGGGGCCAGCCCCAGUACACAUCCGAUUUUUACGGUUUGGCGGAUCAGAUAACAUCAGGACGCCUGGAAUGCAUAGUCCUUAAUGUUUUGUGGUGAAGCAUUCAGUCUCUAUGAGGCCCAGGAGCAAGUUCUCAAAAGAUAAAUAGUAUCUGGGGACAUGGAUUUCCUAAAAUGCCUGAGGGGUUGGCACAGUGAUUAUACUUUGGGUCUUGCUAAGGGCUCCAUAAAUCAUCCCUGUCUGCUACAAAUACUUCAGUGCCAUUGGAUUUACUAUAUUACAAGCCCAAGGAACAGAGGAGCUUGUAUGUAGCCUGGAUCUGCUGCAGGGCAUUGGUUUGAUUUGAACCUCGUUUAAACUGGUAUCCCAACAGAUACCGAGAAUCUGCAGAGCACCCAAAUGGGUAAACAUCGCCUCAAAAAUGAAAAAGGAACAAUAUGAUGCCAAGCACUGUGAGUGUGUGUGUCUGUCUGUGGGGAGGAUAUAUGCUAGUAAAAAAUGUAUUGACUUUUCUCUAUUUUAAGGGAAUAUUCUGACAAGCCGUAGACCAUUGGAAUGUAAAACUUCACAGAGAGUAACCUAGAAAUCCACCAGAUUCUUCUUCAAGGGGGCAUAGCUUCCCUUCAUUAAAUGACUCUGGAUGUAUAAACUAGUUGCUGUCUGGGAAAUUACUCGUCUGAUUUCUGAUCACCAGAUCCAGAAUCCUCCUGACUAUGUGGCUCAUGUAAUAUUUUACCAGCUGCCCAUCUAUUUCAUUGCCAUGAUCAAUUAGCUAUCACCAACAACCUUCACAUAUUAAAACACUUAUUUACUGCUCCAGCCCUACUUUCGUUAAGUAGCUAUGCCUGCCUUUGUACCUCUGACAGUCCAAGAUCCCACCAUGCCAUUUGAAACUGGGGAGCUGAUUUUAACGGCCACAUCUUCUAACCACAGAUAUGCAGAGGGCAGCCACCACAAUGAUGCUUGUGCUCCACUCACAGAUGCAUAUUAUAAUGUUGGAUUGAAGAGAGAGAGUCUAGGCACUGUUGGGGUACAUUUUUGGGAUUGUGGUGGUUACAUAAGUAAAUUCAGUUAAACAUUCUUAUAUCCUUAAAUCAUCUGUUUAAUACUGCAGAAUUCUGUUAUCUCAGCCUUAUUGAAUAUAGGACAAUUUUGAAUUUAGGCUCCUAUCAAUCAAUUGAGCUACUCUAGUAAACACCUUACUUCUGGAUUUGGGUAAAAACACCAACAUCUACAAAUUUAGCCUAAUCCAAUGUGAUACUCUAUCUUCCUUGGUCUACAUCAGGAGUCAGCAAACUUUUUCCUGAAGGACCCAAUAGUAUAUAUUUUAGGAUUGAUGGCCUUAAGUUUUCUGUUGCAACCACUCAAUCCUGCCAUUGCAGCACCAAAGCAGACAUUGACACAUAUGAAUAAAUAACUGCAUGGUUGUGUUCCAAAAAAACUUCAUUUACAAAAAAAUUGGGACUACAUAAUUCAGUUUUCUGACCCCCGAUCUAAAACUCUAAAAAUUCACUUCCUAAUAUAUUUACCAGCUUUCUGCUGAAGUAAAGUAGCAAUUAGAAAAAUAUUUUGGAGUAUUAACUAUCUCUUCCUCAUUCAGACUUUACAUUUGUCUCCCUAGACCAAGCAUGAUGGGCUAUAACCCUCAUGUUGAGUGUGGGUCAAUGAGAGUAGUAAGGCGGAGUCCUGAUGCAAAUGUGCAUCCCUUUGAAAAGUGAAUCUACAGCUGAUGUCAUUACAGGGUCUUAAAACAAAGGAAGGCCAGUCUCCUCAGACACUGGGAGGACCUGUCUUCCCUGCCUUUAGAAGCUCAAGGGGAUUUGGAUGUUCAAGUUUAUGAGAUUUAUCUAAGUCCUCACAUAUGCCCUCAGUAUAAAUCUCAGGGUCCUACUGCUUUUUCAUCAAUUUUCUAAUUUUCAAUAAGAGCCAUAAGUUUAUGAAUCAACUUAUAUUUUAAUUCUCCUUCAUACAAAGUCAAAUUUUGGAUUUUAAUUUUAGCUGCAACAAUCUUACAAUGAGAUAAGAUGUGCUUGUAGCAUAAGCAUGGAAGGUUAGUGGUUCUCAUUCUGUAACUUGUGCUAGAAUUUUAAAGCCUGUGCUUGUCCUUUUUUCCCCUAAACUCGAUCAGAAAUUGCUAGCAAGUCUGACUGUUUGUAAUUAUCUUUCCCACCAAAGUCAAUUGCAGCAACUAACAGGUGUCUCACAGCUUUGUCUUCAAUUGGCACCCCACUCCAAACAGAAAAAAAAAAUGAAUAAUGAAUUAAAUAACUGUUCUAUUACUGCAUACAUUUACAUUAUCCCACUUUCCACUGGCAAUGAGGUUAUUAUCAUGUUCAAGCCUAGUCAAGUCAGAAAACCCUCCCCAGACUGCCAUCUUCAAAGAUCUACCACCCACAGGACUACUAUGUACUACUACUUCCUAUGGGACUACUUCCUAUAGGAAGUGCAGUGUCAAUCAGAGUCAGCUUGCGAAAAUGGAAAGAAUUCAAGAUAUUCCAAACAGAGAAAGAUUUAAUGCAAGGAACUGGCUACAAACAUGCCAUAAAUCACUGGAUGGAUAAAAGAAAAAAGAGAGUGGUUCCUGAAGAACACUUAAGAGGAGAAAUGAAACUUAGAAAGGAGGAGGUCAUUUCAACCCCUGUACUUGAACCAAGAAGUCUGAACUAACUGCAAUGUAACUGAAGUCACUGCAUGGCCGGUCCUGGAACCACUGGAGAGGUGCUGAGUGGUGAGUGUUUGUCUUGAAAUGGGAUGGCCGCUGCAGAAGCAAAAUGGACUCUUUUUUCUUUCCAACAUGUCUCACCUUAACAAACUUCAUAGGAGGACAGCUGGCAAUGGAUUUGGGAAUGUAGUUUGCAGGCUUCCAGUCUCAGCAGUUCAGAGCCGAGAAGAAAUAAGUGAAAGAGGCCUGCAGUGAAAGGAAAAAAUAUCUGACGAAUAGGUUCUUUGUGGCACAUACUACUUGUUGGUGAACACAGCUGUCUCUCCCCACAAAGGAACAUUUGUGAUGAUAUUACUGUUGACUAUACCAUCAAAUUCCCAUAAGGAAGUAAAAGUUUGGAUCAAGAACAUUUCAACACAAUGAAAAGUUUCUUCAUAUAAAAAAUGGAUUCAGUAGAUAAUCUCAACUACUUUCUUCAUAUUUUAAAAUGUUAUGGCUCUGGACUCAUUGAAAAUGGUUUUCUCUCCCAAUAAGAUGGAGAUAAAUCAUGCAACUUUCCACCUUAUUAUCUACAUAAUGACCUAUGCAACCACAUUUCAAUCUGCUUUCUAAGGAAUUAAAUCAUUAGCCUGGAUUAAAUCUGGUCUGUUCUGCUUCCCUACUUGCUUCACAUUUCUUUCUUUACAGCCUCUUGUUUUGAAUGUACUUCUCUAAUCAGUGGCACCUUAGUGUACCUUAAAGUUAUCUCUGCUUUGAGGCCUUUUCUGUCCUUUAUCCCUGCAAACUGCAUUAAACAGAUAACUUUAAAAGUGAAGCUUUUCCCAAAGAAAUGUUCUCAGAUUUAAUAUCUCUGGUGGCUCUGUGGGAGAGGAAGUAGUAUCAAGCACCAUUAGUCAGGGUGAGAAACCAAACUGAGUUGACAUCUGGCCUGAUGAAGCACUGAUUUUAAAAGCGAGUAUAUCCAACAUCCAAAUCUGACCAGAACCCCAUGGUACUCUAAGAGUCAACACUUCUGAAUAUUCACCACAGAGCUAGAGGAUUCCUGAUGCCUGGGAAAGAGCCAGUGCACUUUGUAUAUUUCAAGACAUCUCAGGAAAUGAAAAUGAGUUUUUUGUUAACCCAAAGAAUUUGAAGGAUAUAUAAAGCCAUUCAAAAUCGAAUCAUUUUCUAUAAGGAAAGUCCUGUAUUUAAUGACAGAUAUAAGGGCAACUACUUGUAGCUUUUUCUCUGGGUGGAUCGUUUUUCUUGACUGGAAGGAAAACUGCUCGUAUGGAGAACAUUUCCAUUGAAUUCUUGAUUCAUCCUAUUCCAGGCAUUUUGAUAAUCAAUUAUCAGUGCUGUCUUGGAUAAUCCUCAAAGAACACUAUGAGAUAGGCACUAUUUAUUCCCAUUUUGCAGAGUGUAAAGCUGUACUACAGUGAGAAAAAAAUAACUUGUCAAAAUUGCAUAGACAGGGUUCACUAUGUGGUAAAAAAACAUACAGUAAAAUAUUAACGUCAGCAUCUAGGCAGUGGGUAUAUGGAUGUUACCUGUAACUUUUCUGCUUCAACACUUUCAUUAAAAAUGUUGACAGAAAUACCACACAGCUAAUGACUAGAAGACUGGGAAUUUCUCUCAGGCCUGACUGCUUCUAAAAAUAACUCCCCUAACCUUCCAGUGCUGAUCAAUUUUGCAGGAGUAUUACUAGAAUGUAACGUCUGUCAUACCAUGGGAAGAGCAUGCAAUUUGGGAAAAGAAGAGCUGAGUUCAAGUUCCAGAUCCACCACUUUUCAGCUGAUCUUUAUUGCUAAUAAAUAAAGCCAAGCUUACAAUGCUUUAAGCUUUGACUGUAAUAACAUUUGUGAAGCAGUAUAAUAAUUAUGUUCAAGUGCCAUAAAAACCAAGCCAUAG
rnacentral:lncRNA from 1 species